ensembl:lncRNA
CUCUGAUUCAGAAGAGGAAGAUGUAUCAGAAGAAGAAGAAGAUGGGGAGGAAUACAACCCAGAGCAUGAUGAAUCAUCUUCAGAAGAAGAAGAAAACCCUGAAGCUGAAACAGAGACUUUCCUUUCAAAAAAUGGAAAAAUAACAUGGUCCUCAGCAGCAUAUGACCAACACGGCAGGCAUGCAGCACAAAACGUCAUAAAGAAGACCCCAGGACCCACAAGGUCCCGAGGUGAGGCUGCAGCUAGUCUAUGGGAUGCAGAGAGUGGAAGGCCAAUUUUCCGAGCCACAAUGGCACUCAAACUCUUUCACACCUACUCAAGACUGCUACGAUUUGAUGACCGUGAGUCAAGACCAGCAAGACGUGUGACAGACAAACUUGCAGCCAUAAGAGAGGUCUGGGACAAGUGGGUGGAGCGGCUGCCCUACCUCUACAAUCCAGGGCCUGACGUAACAGUGGAUGAGCAACAGGUUCCAUUUUGAGGUCGUUGUCUUUUCCGGCAGUAUAUGCCCAGCAAGCCAGCAAAAUAUGGGAUCAAGUCAUGGGUGGCUUGCGAUGCCAAAUCAAGCUAUGCUUGGAAAAUGCAAAUCUAUACCGGGAAGCCGACCAGUGGAUGCCCAGAGAAGACCCAGGGGAUGAGAGUUGUGCUUCAUGUGACAGAGGGACUGAGGGGUCACAAUGUGACAUGUGACAAUUUCUUCACCUCUCAUGAACGUGGACAGCAGCUCCUGAAGAGGAA